GGGAUUCGAACGGCAGGCGGGAAGUGCUCUAGCAGGGGAGUCUGACCUUGUGAGGGAAUACCUGUGUCCCCCCUUUUUUCCCCUUUUUACCCAAUAAAACCCUGCCUUACUCACCCUUUAAAUCAUCUGCGAGCCUGAAUUUUCAUGGCCGUGGGACGGACAAGAACUUUAUCUUCAGCUGAACUAAGAAAAAGUCCUGCAACAUUUUUGGCGCGCAAUGUGGGGGCACCAGAAGCGGAGCCUUAUGUAUGUGGUUGAAACCACCUGUACUACUGGAAUGAAAGCACCUUUACAGAAGAGGCAAUGCAAGUUGUAUUCAUCACAUGUGUAGAAUGAAUUAAGAUUUAUGCCAGUUGCAAAGAAGAAUAUUGGCUCACUAUUUUUCCUCUGGGCAUGUGGAAAUGUAAAUCAGUCCAUGUUACUCACCUCGGAGAAGCAGAAGUACGAUUUACUAUUGUUGCUUGCUUACUUACUCUUAUCAAUUUCUAUGAGAGAAAGAGACCUCAAGUAAACCUCCAGCAGCCAUCUGGACUUCCAUGAAAACAGAACAAUCAGUGAGAUGCAGAGCUUGGAGGAGACAGUUUCCAUAGACUGAAGCACGUGCUGAAGCAAAGUUCACACUUGCAGGAUUAGAAGAGGUUGACCGAAAGAAGGAAGGACAUGGACAGCUAUGUUGUUGUGGAGUCCUGUUUUAUAGUCAUAACCUUGAGUCAAGUGAGUUUGUCUGGACAGACAGAGCUUGUUGCCUUUACUUAUAGGGAAGGCACCGGACACAGACAGCCUCAAGGACAUUUGUUCUAGCCUUUCAGUAUCCUUUCUCUUAAUUAUCUCACCUCAUCCAUGAAGCUGGUAUGUACGAUUUUUCCUUUCUUUCUCAAUCCUUUAAAAAAUUAAAGCUCUAAAUCUCAUUUCCACUUAGAUUUUAAUGUUGCAUUGUAACUUAAGAUAAAACCUUGCUCUGAUGUUAAAAAUACUAAAGUAAGAAGCAAUAUGGCAUAGUGCUUAUGAGCAGGACUACAUAGUUCUUUCUGAAUACAAAUCUCAGAUAAAACACUAUCUCAGUGAUCAACCAGGUUAAGCAACCUUUUUAGUGCCUCAAUUAUUCCAUUUGUAAAAUUGUAAUAAUGAUAGUACUAACCUAUAAGAUUGUGGUGAGGAUUAAGUCAGAUAAUACAAAAGAAGCAUUUAGAGUAUUUCCUGGCAUUAUCUACCAUUUAUUGAAUUUUUAUGGUUAAGAAGAAUAAGGAAAAGCAGAAGAAAAGGAAAAGAGAAAAAAUACAUAAGAAGAAGGAAGAGUGGUAAGCUCUAGUAAAUUACAACAAACGGUAACGUAGAAAACAUUUGUUAGCCCUUAAUAUAGGCCAGGCACUGUGUUCAAUGCUUAAACCUCAUUACUGUUCUUUGAAGUGGAUAACAUUAUUCCUUCCAUUUUAAAGAAAGGAAUACUAAAGACAACUUUGUCAAUAUUAUUCAUGUAAUAAAUGACAGAAUUUGACCAAGACAAUAGAGAA
ensembl:lncRNA MIR924HG MIR924 host gene